GCCAGCGGAGCCGGCCGGCUUCCUGCCGCAAGCGCGGGCCGCGCUGGAGAGCGUCGGCCUCGUGGACCCCGGGCGCGGGGGGCACACGCUCGCUCAAGUCCUGGCGACGACUGAGAACUGCAACAUGUCUAAAUUCCUCAACCGGAUCCUGGGCGUGAAGGUCUCGCUGCAGAACAGCCUCUUCAAAUACUUCGUGGAUAACCUUAACAUGGUCACCGAGGAAGCUCGCAAAUCUGGGACAUACGAGCAGGGUAUUGUGGACGUGCGCGGGGCCCGCUGCGCGCGCGCCGUGCGCGUGCUGCGGAGGCUGGCCGCGGGCG
rnacentral:lncRNA from 1 species